UGUUGCCACGAUAAGCCCCGGCUCUCUCUCGACUUUUGUUUAAUACCAUUUGUUGUUCCUCGAGCCGGAGCGGCAUAAACAAAUAUCGCAAUUGUUAUUGCAAAUGCAUUCCGAUCGGGCAAGGCAAGCUGAUAUUUUUCGCCAGAAUUCGGCUGAUUUUUCAUCGCAUUUCGCGUUUGCCGGUCCCCGUCGUGCUGUCUCGCUCGCACUCGGCUUGCGAAAAUCAAAAAAAAAAGUGAAAGAGGGAAAGCCAUUUUAUGUUGUUGCUGCUAUUAUUGGAUGUGCGCACACAUAUGGCAAUAAGUAACAAUAUGUGGACUUAUUUAUUUGCGCGCUUUGUUGACUAAUCUUUGUUUAAAUAAUUGCCUAUUUCGAGCCAAAGUGACGCAUAAAAGGAAACGGCAGCAUACGGUGCGAUAAGCGAGGCGAAGGCGCGAGCGAGAUGGCGCUAGAGAGAGCGCAGCAUAAAAAGAAAACAACAAGCGAGCACACACACACACACACGCACACAUGGUCAAAGGAGUGGCUCCAACGUCGGUGACGUCGCGCCCAGCCACAGCCCCCCGCCCCGCCCAGCCCACUCCCUUCCUUCCCCACCCCGCUGCCCCUGAGCCACUCUGCCCCCCUCCCGCUUCCUCUCCCGUCGCAUUCGGUAUCGCCAUCUCGCUUUUUUGGCUUUAUUUUGCUUUUCGGUCAAGCCAAGAAACUGAAGUCAAAGAGGAGAGCCUGGAAAUUGCAAUUGUUAACAAAAAAAAACCACUGCACAUGCAGUCGUUCGGGGAAAAAAACCGAAAUUCGAGCAUGGCCAUAAAAAGAAAGACCCAUGGAAACCUAUGUUUUGUGACCCUACUCAUAAAGCCCAAACUAUGAUGACAAAAUCCUAUAAAGAUAAGCUUACAGAAAAUUCCAGUCAUAGAACUUCCACCGAACACAAGUUAUUCUCAUAUUUUUGCGUCCGAAAUGUUCGCCGACGUCAUCGCGAAAUUCCACGGUCCCCAAGCGACGUCUUCUUCGCCGGCUCUUCGAGGCUUUUCUUCGGCGAAGAAAGAGAGACAGCGAGUGACACAAUCUUAUCUUGCAGACGGGUCUUUGAAAAUGGCCCCGGCUAACGGUUAGGAGCAUAUGGCCGGGAAUGGAGCCACUGCAGACCGAUGGAAAUUGGCUUCAAAUUGCUCCGAAUAUGGUCAGUCGGCGUUGGAUUGUCGAGAGCCAUCAACUAGUUCUCCUUCUGCGCCCGGAGAUCGUCAUUUCUUCUCGAAUGUGUUCAUUAUGUAUUUGGUAUUUAGCGCUGAUCAGCCGGCUUUAAUGGCCAUAAAACGUGUCUUGGUUUGUGGGCCACAUAACAGGCAGCGAGAUCUGCAGAAAUGAUGACAGUAGAACGCUAAAGAAGUGCUCUUAUAAAGAUAUCCGUUUUUUGCAUCUCCUAAAUCUCUCUAUAAAUCAGAGAUUAUGCUAUUAUUUUGGCAUGGAAUGGGUACAUUUGAUAGUUAUGUGAUUGGAUUCAUUAUAUCUAAGCGAUAUCAUAUAGGAUCCAUGAAUAUUUGGUUAAGAAGUGUUCGUAUAAAGAUAUAUGUUCGGUUUACAUCUUAAAAGUCCAAAUAAAUCUUGGAAUAUAAUAUUAUCUUGACAUAGAA